rnacentral:rRNA from 1 species
GACGAACGCUGGCGGCGUGCUUAACACAUGCAAGUCGAACGGAAAGGCCCUGCUUUUGUGGGGUGCUCGAGUGGCGAACGGGUGAGUAACACGUGAGUAACCUGCCCUUGACUGUGGGAUAACUUCAGGAAACUGGGGCUAAUACCGGAUAGGAGCUCCUGCUGCAUGGUGGGGGUUGGAAAGUUUCGGCGGUUGGGGAUGGACUCGCGGCUUAUCAGCUUGUUGGUGGGGUAGUGGCUUACCAAGGCUUUGACGGGUAGCCGGCCUGAGAGGGUGACCGGCCACGUUGGGACUGAGAUGCGGCACAGACUCCUAUGGGAGGCAGCAGAGGGGUAUAUUGCACAAUGCGCGGAAGCCUGAUGCAGCAACGCCGCGUGGGGUAUGAUGUGAUGCCGGUUGUAAACCGCUUUCCUCUGUGACGAGGCGUGAGUGACGGUAAUGGGUAAAGAAGCACCGGCUAACCACGUG